AGCUACAUAGCUCAGGGGAAGAGUAGGUCAACUUAACUUGAAUCUUAAGAAAUUGGUUCCAACAUGUUCUAACAAACCAAUCAGGCGCCGGGCUCAUAACCCGGAGGUCGCUGGAUCGAAACCAGUUGUAGCUA